rnacentral:rRNA from 1 species
CCUACUGGUGACAUCAUUGGGGUAUAUUGCACAAUGGGGGAAACCCUGAUGCAUCUCCGCAGCUUUCUGUCCUCCUUCUUUCUUUCUUUCCCUCUCUCUCCUCCUUUAAUAAAAUGACAGUACCUGACCAAGAAGCCCCGGCUAACUACGUGCCAGCAGCCGCGGUAAUACGUAGGGGGCAAGCGUUAUCCGGAUUUACUGGGUGUAAAGGGAGCGUAGACGGUUAUGUAAGUCUGGAGUGAAAGCCCGGGGCCCAACCCCGGGACUGCUUUGGAAACUGUGUAACUGGAGUACAGGAGGGGCAGGCGGAAUUCCUGGUGUAGCGGUGAAAUGCGUAGAUAUCAGGAGGAACACCGGCGGCGAAGGCGGCCUGCUGGACUGAAACUGACGUUGAGGCUCGAAAGCGUGGGGAGCAAACAGGAUUAGAUACCCCUGUAGUC